UACAGAGGGGGUACAGCGUUGUUCGGAAUUACUGGGCGUAAAGGGCGCGUAGGCGGCCUGCUAAGUCGAACGUGAAAUCCCUGGGCUCAACCCCAGGAACUGCGUCCGAUACUGGUUGGCUUGAAUCCGGGAGAGGGAUGUGGAAUUCCAGGUGUAGCGGUGAAAUGCGCAGAUAUCAGGAGGAACACCGGUGGCGAAGGCGGUUCUCUGGGCAUGAUCUGACGCUGAGGAGCGAAAGUGUGGGGAGCAAACAGG
rnacentral:rRNA from 1 species